rnacentral:rRNA from 1 species
CGUCGACCUCCCCAAGUGCCGCGAGCGCGGGACGUCCUCACGGACGACGUCGCCGACCUCGCCGUCGGCCUCGCCAUCGCCGCGCUACGGAGGAUCCCGCAGGCCGACCGCUUCGUGCGCACCGGCCUGUGGAAGGCCAAGGGAGACUACGCACUCACCACGCGAUUCAGUGGCAAAACAGUGGGCAUUAUUGGGCUGGGCAGGAUAGGGCUUGCUAUUGCCACUCGAGUGGAGGCCUUUGAUUGCCCAGUCAACUACUACCAGAGAACAAAGAAGGACUACCCCAAUUACACCUAUUACCCUUCUGUACUUGAAUUGGCAGCAAACAGCGACGUCCUCGUGGUGGCUUGCCCAUUGAGUGAACAGACCCGCCACAUUGUCAACCGUGAGGUGAUGGAGGCACUCGGACCCAAGGGCGUGCUCAUAAACAUCGGGCGCGGCCCUCAUGUUGACGAGCCUGAGCUUGUCUCUGCGCUCGUUGAGGGGCGCCUUGGUGGGGCAGGCCUCGACGUGUUUGAGGAUGAGCCCGAUGUGCCUGAGUCGCUCUUCACGCUUGACAAUGUUGUCCUGGCACCACACAUGGGGAGCGGGACACACGAGACGCGCAAGGCGAUGGCUGACCUGGUUCUCGGUAACCUGGAGGCGCAUGUUCUAAAGAAACCGCUGUUGAGUCCUGUUAUCUGA